GAUUUUUGUCUGUCUGUUUCAUGGUAUUUAGGAAUGUUUAUUUAAAUUACUAAUGUGAAAAUAAACCUUGAUUAAUCCAGAGCUACGCUGUGAUUAAUCUGAUUAAACCUGUAAUCGAUUGACAGCCCUGAUUAAUGUAGGUCAAUAGACAACCUUUCUAUUUUUUGUAGUGUUGUAGUGUAUUUUCUAAUCUUUUGGGCUUGUUUUUAUUCGGAUGCUUGUUUCCCCCAAUCUGGCAACCCGGACUUAACUUUCACGCUUUAAGGCCGAUAAGAGAGGCGUAUUAUUUAUCUGCUACGACGGCAACGGAUAAUUUCGAAACAAACGAAUCUAAGUUUUGUUUUUUAAAUUAUCCUUGUUUUUUUAUUUGUAUUAAUUACCGUGUAUGACAUUCACAAAUUAAAUCACGGCGUUCAAAAUGUCGUCGCUGACUCUGAGGAAAAAGGUAACGUAGCCAGGUAUGUAGCCAUUAGCUCGUGUCACGGUUAACGUUCAUCAGGGAGUGUCUGUACUUCAACGGAAGACAUGAAGCAGAAAAGGCAGAAAAAACAUGAUGAGCUGAUUAGCAGGUGGGCAGUUUGAAGAGUGCAGCUUUGAUGUUGGAGUGGAGAAGAUCACCAUGGGAACAGACACCUUCGUGGGCAUCGACAUGGAGGGGGGCAUGGAGCGUCACUUGCUGUAGAAAACCUGCCUGGUUUGAGGUUCGAUUCCACGCCUGGUUGCUGUAGGAUGGACACAAGGUGAAAGGCAGAGCUACGUCACACUACGACUUAUAUGAAACGAGAGACGGAUACUGAUCAGGAUGAGAGGAGGACGGAGGCAGGACCAGGACAAGGACCAGGACAAGGACAAGGACAAGGACCAGGACCAGUACAAGGACCAGGACCAGGGCAGACACAAAUGAGCGUUACACCUGUGUGGAGUCCACAGCUGAAGGUGACCAGUGACUGCGUCUGAAUAAUGGUUCUGUGGUUUUGACCUGUGACCUGUGACCUAGUCUACUGAUACUACUGACGGAGCAGAGGAACUGGUACCUGCUCAACACACCAUAGUCGGCUGGGCGGGAUUCAAACCACCUCUGAUAACAACUUUGAACAAGUAUUUAAACCUAAAAUAUCGAGUAUGAAAAAAAAAAUUCACAAAACUCCCUGGGAUUCCCUGACGUACCACUGAAGGUCAGCGUACCCCCAGUUGGAAAAGACUGAUAUGUAGUAAUGUUUACAUAGGUUUUAUGCCCAUGUGUUGAUAAGAUAUUAACACUUGGCUGACAUUAAACUGGAUGAAGUGUUUGAAUCAGUAUCAGGAGGCUCCAGGACGCGAGGCCAACACCUCGGCUGCUGCUCUCGGCCCGUCUUGCAUCAGGGGUUGUUUGCAUUACAGGAACGACUCUGUUCCUACUCAUGUAAUUUAAUUACAGUGGACUUUGGCAUGCCCAGGCGGUGCCCCCGUGGAGCGGCGCAGAGUGCCAGCCGGGAACAUCCUGUCACGGGCGACAGGAACAUCAGAUGCGACAGAUGGCUCAUAAAUCAUGAAGGUGCGUGCGCGGCGCUGACGGGAGGCCUUCCUCUGGAGAGCACGCUGCGAGCAGGUGGGCAGCCGGAGCCACAUGAGUCCUGGACCAGUUUGAGAAAACGCCCGGUGUCAGAGCGGUGGAGCAGCGGAGCUGGGAGGGGAAAUCAUCAGAAUAACAAAAAAAAAAAAUGUCAUUGUCAGUCCUGUUGCGUCUUUCACAUUUGAAGGUGUGACUGAAGACGGAGAGCAGACUGUCUCCGUCUCACAGUGUGUCACCAUAUGGCAGCGCUCUCACCUCACAAACCGGAGCGACUGUUGUGGAACAGAACAGGAUCGUGUGUGUGGAGCAGCGACGCCGCAGCAUAAAACAAAGACCAUAUGGUUCAGUGCCCGCCUUUAUUUUUACGGUUGUUUCACAUGUAAAUUCUGCAGAGAAAGACGGGAGUGGGCGCAGAUUUCUUCUCCGCUCCAACACUAAGCCAGCUUUCAUCCUCCAGUUACGGUUUCACGUUUACAUCGCCGCGGAAGAAGACGGAGAUUUUUUUUUUUACUGUCGUAAUCCUGAGACCUGCUGUAGGCCGUGAAGUUAAACAAGAAGAGGACUCGACCCUCCAGUUUAUUUACAUCGUGUACCACCACCAACAUACACACAUAUAGUACAGUACAAUGAAGUAGUACUACAGCUUGUACUUCAGUUUUAUUCUAAGACUACACAAGUACAAACCCACCCACAAAUUGAAUGAAAAUACGUUAAAAAA